GCCACUCGGCACGAAGCUUGGAUAGCUGGUACAUCUGAGGGUCCGCCAGAAGAACUGGAUGGACACUCGGGCUGCUGAAAUCCUGCUCGUUUAUUGAAGGGUCGCAGAAGGGGCAGACAGGGAGACAACGAAGCAGAAGGGAGGCCGAUUCCGAGAGUCCCGAAGGGCGGGGCAGUGGAAACUCCGUCCAGCGAUGAGGUGUUCUCGGUGGUUUGCACCAAGGACACGUUGUCUUGCUGAGCUGGCACCUCUACGAAUGGCUUGACAUAUUUCCCCGGAAUCUAUCUUGGUCCUUUAUCUGUAGAAACACAGGCAUACCCUCUCCCACAGGUUAUUAGAGGGAAAGGGCCCUGGA